rnacentral:rRNA from 1 species
CCUACGGGAGGCAGCAGUGGGGGAUAUUGCACAAUGGGGGAAACCCUGAUGCAGCGACGCCGCGUGUGGGAAGACGGUCUUCUGGAUUGUAAACCACUGUCCCCAGGGACGAAAAUGACGGUACCUGGGGAGGAAGCUCCGGCUAACUACGUGCCAGCAGCCGCGGUAAUACGUAGGGAGCAAGCGUUGUCCGGAAUUACUGGGUGUAAAGGGAGCGUAGGCGGGGAUGCAAGUUGGGUGUCAAAACUAUCGGCUCAACCGAUAGUCGCACUCAAAACUGCAGCUCUUGAGUGAAGUAGAGGCAGGCGGAAUUCCUAGUGUAGCGGUGAAAUGCGUAGAUAUGUGGAAGAACACCGAUGGCGAAGACAGCCUCCUGGGACAUAACUGACGCUCAGGCACGAAAGCGUGGGGAGCAAACAGGAUUAGAUACCCCGGUAGUC